ensembl:lncRNA
CCCUAUUUAAUUGAAGUAGAUUAGUGAAUAAAUUAUAAAAAUAAUAAUAAAUAAUAUUAAAAUAAACUAUUUUUUACAUUUUAUUUGUAUUGAAUACAAUGCAAUGGUAAGAAUUUAAAAUGCCAGUAAAUGUCGGUGUGACCCUCUUUGAUGUAAGUGAUUUAAACAAUUCAAUAUUAAUAAAAAUUAUUUAAAUGAAGGAAAUUUACUUAAUUUCCUUUCCAAUGCAAGAAGUUCAUUCUCAUGAGAUUUAACUAAAAGAGAGUCGUCUAGCCAGAAGACAGCAUGGCAAAGAGCUCACUAGGGUUUGUGACAGAUCCAAAAUGAACAAAACGAAAUAAUGAAUCAAAUCUUACCCUUGCUUUCUUUCUCAGAUAGUACAAAAUGCCAAGCAGAGAAAAAAUCAGGAGCAGGAUGAUGAUCAAAAUGAUGACACCUGUCAAAAACACACAGAGAUCUGUUGUUGUGGUUCUCAGUUUAUAAUUAAUUAAUAGGUUGAUUAAGUGACAGUAAAGUCAUUGAAAUCAUCAAAAGUCAUUCGAUCAAAGGUGACAGUAAAGAAAUUUAUAACACUACAGAAACUAUUUCAUUUCAAAUAAAUGCUGUUGUUUUUGAUCAAAUAAAUGAAGCCUGGUGAGGCAGGAAGAAAGCAUAUUUCUCAUCUUCCACAAAGCAGAUGCUGUGUCGUGCAGAGAGUCGAGCUCACCUCCUGUAACCGUUGUUGAAUCUGAAACUGAGCAAAGACCACAUUACAACAAUCACACCCCACAAGAAUGAAUUCAGAUACACUGAGAAACAAUAAUAAUAAUAAACAUCUGCUUUUGAGAGCAUGCAAUUAUGAAGAAUUGGUGUGAGUCUACAAACAUGCUGCUGUUACACACAAAGUGCAUUAAAAUAGAACAGAGAGAGAGAUUUGGCUGCUGUGGUAAUUCUGCAUUCAGAAAGCAGAGCGAAUCUUGCACCCACUCACACGUUAACCGCUCAGAUCUCAGAGCUGCCAUUCACACAGAUCGCCAUUUUCUCAACUGGCCAGAAACAGCUUGUGUUUUAGUUACUACAGUAUGCAUUUAAAAGUAUCCAUUGUUUAUUAUUUAUAGUGUUUUUUUUGUUUAGUACAUACUGGAUUAAAAGUAUGGAAUAUGUUUCUUCUGCACAUCUAGGCUGCAUUUAUUUUGUCAAAGAUUAAAAAACUGUAAUGCUGUGAAAUACUAUUACAGUUUUCUAUGUGAAUCUAUGUUAAAAAGUGACUUAUUGCUGUGAUCAAAGCUGAAUUUUCAGCAUCAUUACUCCAGUGUUAAUUCAGCAUCAAGAAAUUAAUACUUUUAUUUAGCAAGGACACAUUAAAUCGAUCAAAAGUGGAAAAAAAAAAGAAUCCUGAAAAAUAAAAUGCAUCACUUUUUCCACAAACAUAUUGUGCAGUACAACUGUUUUCAACACUGAUAAUAAUCAGAAAUGUUUCCUGAGCAGCAAAUCAGC